GGUCUAAAGAGGUGCCCCUUUAAACAUCUAUAAGAAGACCUUCCAUGUUUAGAUAUUUUCACUGACAACUCCUGGUUCACCAAAAUACUUUAAUUGUAAAGCAUGUAUUCCAAAUUGUAACAGUACGUCAGACCCUAACAAAAGCAGUGGCAUCAACAAGUACCCAAGUCCUCUUCCUCUGGUCAAGCAGCUGUGGUACCAUAUAGAACCUCCAUUGGUUACUUCCCAGCCUUUUAGUCCAUACUUGAUACCACUAUCUUAAUUGGAAGAAAAUAUUGAGGGUUCACCAGUAAAUAUGGAACACAACUGAUGUUGGCAACUAACAAAAUUCUUUCAGGUAAACGAUGGUCCAACACUUCUAAAGAAAACAACACUUAGAGAAUGAAUAAAGUAGUGGCAGUCACGUCUUGGUAUCAAAUGUCCAUCUCAUUUUAUAUGGAACCAAACUGGCUACAGGUCGUAUACAAGGGAGCGGACAGACAGGACAAUAGGCAUUUCACAGCCUUCUGCUGCUACAACUGGUCUUAAGGUAACGCAGAAAAAGAUGGACAGAUGAAUGAGACAUGUGACAUUAUGAGUGGACGCAAAAAGAUGUUAGGGUCUUUUUAUACCCCAUUUAUAGGAACCUACUGGAGUCCAGGGACACCGUGGCCUUUACAGUAGAAAUGAAGGUCUAUGAUGUGAAGAAGCUAAGAACUGCUAUCUUCCUUUAUCACCUCUACAGCUUACGGUACCCGACCACAAAGGAAAACUUGGCAUAGAGAAGGCCCAUGUGAUUGCCGGGCAUGCUUACAGAAACAUACAAAGGCUAAGAAAUGGACUGGCGACCUUGCUGAUUUACUCACAACAAAAGGACAAGGAAAAUACUUUGGGGAAAAACAAAGCAGUAAACAAGUGGUUGGUUGAGAAAAAAAUAUAUAAAAAAAAUCCCAAAACACGAGGGAGGCUUCAGCCAAUAUGAAACCCACAGACUAAACAGCACUAACUAUAAUCAGAGCCCCAGCCACUAUUGUGUGACUGUCGGAGAAGUGUCUGAGAUGGUCUCCUGGUUUAUUGAUUGUUCCUUAAAAUCGAAAGAAAAUUAGCAUAGAAAAAAAGGACUCUGAGACUUAUAUAAAGGGCUCUUCACUUUGAACAAACCAUAUUUGUUAUAUGGGUCUUAUAACAAUAAGCUGAUCAGAAACAAUAAAUAAAUAAAUA